rnacentral:rRNA from 1 species
CCUACGGGCGGCUGCAGUGGGGAAUAUUGGACAAUGGGGGGAACCCUGAUCCAGCCAUGCCGCGUGUGUGAAGAAGGCCCUCGGGUUGUAAAGCACUUUCAGUGAGGAAGAACGCCUGGUGGUUAAUACCCAUCAGGAAAGACAUCACUCACAGAAGAAGCACCGGCUAACUCCGUGCCAGCAGCCGCGGUAAUACGGAGGGUGCGAGCGUUAAUCGGAAUUACUGGGCGUAAAGCGCGCGUAGGUGGCUUGAUAAGCCGGUUGUGAAAGCCCCGGGCUCAACCUGGGAACGGCAUCCGGAACUGUCAAGCUAGAGUGCAGGAGAGGAAGGUAGAAUUCCAGGUGUAGCGGUGAAAUGCGUAGAGAUCGGGAGGAAUACCAGUGGCGAAGGCGGCCUUCUGGACUGACACUGACACUGAGGUGCGAAAGCGUGGGUAGCAAACAGGAUUAGAUACCCCGGUAGUC